rnacentral:rRNA from 1 species
GACGAACGCUGGCGGCGUGCUUAACACAUGCAAGUCGAACGGAAAGGCCCUGCUUUUGUGGGGUGCUCGAGUGGCGAACGGGUGAGUAACACGUGAGUAACCUGCCCUUGACUUUGGGAUAACUUCAGGAAACUGGGGCUAAUACCGGAUAGGAGCACCUGCUGCAUGGUGGGGGUCGGAAAGUUUCGGCGGUUGGGGAUGGACUCGCGGCUUAUCAGCUUGUUGGUGGGGUAGUGGCUUACCAAGGCUUUGACGGGUAGCCGGCCUGAGAGGGUGACCGGCCACAUUGGGACGGAGAUACGGCCCAGACUCCUACGGGAGGCAGCAGUGGGGAAUAUUGCACGAUGGGCGGAAGCCUGAUGCAGCAACGCCGCGUGCGGGAUGACGGCCUUCGGGUUUUAAACCGCUUUCGCCUGUGACGAAGCGUGAGUGACGGUAAUGGGUAAAGAAGCACCGGCUAACUACGUG